UACAGAGGGUGCGAGCGUUAAUCGGAAUUACUGGGCGUAAAGCGUGCGUAGACGGUUAUUUAAGUCGGGUGUGAAAUCCCCGGGCUCAACCUGGGAACUGCAUCUGUGACUGCAUCGCUGGAGUGCGGCAGAGGGGGAUGGAAUUCCGCGUGUAGCAGUGAAAUGCGUAGAUAUGCGGAGGAACACCGAUGGCGAAGGCAAUCCCCUGGGCCUGCACUGACGCUCAUGCACGAAAGCGUGGGGAGCAAACAGG
rnacentral:rRNA from 1 species